UCACUCGUAAACUAAGAUAUAUAAUAAUAUAAAAUGUAAUGUGGGAUAUCAUAGUGUUAAGGCCGCUACUGAUGGUAAAAUAAAAGUUAAGUGUCGCGAGAGUACACCUACGGAAUUCGUGUUUUUUUUGUUUCGUUGUUUGAUUGGCUUAGACAGGUGGUCGCUCGGUGUCUGGUGAUUGGCAGGGGGCUCAGAAGCAGAGGUCAGAGGGGGGAGGCAGGAUGCAGCAGAGGACCGCGCGCCGGACCGCGAAAGGACCGACAGAGAAUUUCACUGCUGCUGUUGCCUGGUUUCCUCCAUGGGCGUCCGCCGAGGAGGGGCUUCUCCAGCUGAACCCUCUACGGGAGCAUCCAGAGACAGGGAGGGCCGAGAAGAAGCGAGACACACCCACCAAGAUAUGAGUCUGCAUCCAUCUCUCACACAAACAUGAUGAUGACCAGGAGAAUGAUACCUGCAGACUACUCUCAUCAUGCCGGGAUAGGACCUAAUCAACGGAUCCUUGUAGGUAAUGUGAUGAUGAUGAUAAAACAUACGUGAGUGAGUGAAAAACAGUCAUAAAACAGAAUAUAUCUAUCCCAUCUAUAAAACAUUAACCUUCAUUCAAGGUUAGUUUGCUUUAUCCAGCAAUGAUUUCCAUUUGCAUCCGCUAACAAAGUAGCACUAUUUUCUUGUAAAAUGUUAUUUCCAUCAUUUCUUCCUAUGAAAGAAAUUAAAAGUUUCCUUCCAGUACAACCUGUUCUUUGAGCUUCAUGUGCAGCAGUAUUGUGUGGAGGUGAGUGCGGCUUAUGCAAUAACAAAUGUGCUCAUUUCUGUG